CGAAACUGAACACAUCCGAUUUCGUGGAGUACUGUCCACGCAUCACGUACUCAGGAGACAUGUAGCCACUGCAAUGAGAAGAAUCAGCACCAUGUUCAGUUAGAGGCCAUUAUGUGUCUGAAUGGAAGACUAAACUGAAUGAUUAACAGAUUGACAAUAAUUGAUUACAAUGUCCCGACGAUGCGGUUCGUCACAUCUCGUGUCUGGUCUUGCUCGAAGAGCCUGGCUAGGCCGAAGUCACCAAUCUUAGGGUUCAUGUCCGCAUCCAGCAAGACAUUGCUUGCUUUCAUGUCACGGUGGACAAUUUUCUUCUGAGAGUCUUCAUGAAGAUACUGUAGUCCUCGAGCAAUUCCUUCUAUUAUGUUGAAUCGUUUCUUCCAUUCGAGCCGUCUUUUUUCUUCAGGGUCUAAUAGACGAAUCAGAAUUUUAAGGUUAAUGGAAAUUCAGAGAUGUUAGUAUGAAGAUUCUUGGAAGAUUUCUAGUACCAAAAAGAAUGGUGUCAAGGCUUUUGUUGGCCAUGUACUCGUAGACGAGCAAUCUCUCUCCCUCUUCUAAGCAGAAACCCUCCAAUCGGACGAGAUUCUUGUGAUGAAGUUUGGCCACCAAAACUAGCUCAUUUCUUAGUUCUUCUAGCCCCUGAUUUGAACCCUUUGACAGCCUCUUCACGGCUACUUCUUGUCCAGAAAGAUCUCCCUAUAUAAAUUUAUUAUUUUCCAUGAUGUUAAUUCAAUGAAUAGAAUAUACAGCACUGGGAAGUUUUAAAAUAUUCAAGUUUUUUUAACAACGAUCUUGAGUACAAAACUAAUGUUUUCUAUACAUGUUUACUUAAUAUUUUGAUCAUCCUAGUUGGUUCAACUAACUGGUUUACAUUGUACAGCAACAAUGUGAAUUUGAUUUACAUAAAAGCUUGGUGAAAAUUUGCAAAGGAGCUAUUUUUUAUUGAAAAGGGUGCCAUCAUACCUUAUAAACUGAACCAAAUCCCCCUUCACCGAGCUUAUUGCUUUCAUCAAAGUUAUUUGUUGCUACUUGCAGUGACGACAGAGACAACAAUGUUGACUUGAUGCUUUCGAAGUCCUCAACUGUAUGUGCUGGUAAAUUGAUUCAAUAGUGAUAGUGCAAAAUUACCCCUAAUGAAAUGAUAAUGCUAAAGAACGAAAAGUUUCUAGCUUCAUGCCAAACUGUGCAGAGGAGUAGAGGACUUACUUCGGCGGGGAAGCUUUGUUCCUCGGGAUCUUCUCUUCUUACGCAUAUUGCAGAUAUACAAGGUUAUGGCAGCUACUACAGCGAUAAGCACUAUUGGCAAUAUAAUUCCAAGAAGUUUGCCAGCUGAAUUGUUUUUACCUGUGAUUUUGCCCCCAAAAAAUCAGUUCAAGUUUGUCCAGUACUGCAUAUGUUUGUUUGUUUGCUUUUUUUGUUUUUUUGCUAUAUUAGCUCAUGAUUGUAACGAUGUUGCUCAAUGAACAACAUGAAGUUAUUGUUUAUCUCAGAAACUCCCAGAUGAUGCAGUGGUGGUGUGCAGUGGGUCACGCGUACUAUGAUACUAUACACAAAUGGAUACAAGCCGGCCGCUCUGGUUGCUCAUUUCUCAUGUGGGCCUGGCUAAUUUACUACUUAAAUGGGCCUGAAGUAGAUUUGUCUCUUCUUCUUUUUUUGGAAGUGAGGUAGAUUUGUUAUUGUUGUUGUUACUCGUGUUUCUUUUCUUCUCUUCUUUUUUAGGAAAGCCAAGAGGAAUAACGCACUGACCUCCCGUGGUGCCCGGUACAGUCACCGAAGGCGCCGGCGCUGGAACGGCCGCUUCGCCGUUCAUCUGCAGCUUCACCAUCGGAGCGCCGGUGUAGAACUUGUCCCCGAGCUCGGACCUCAGGUUGCACCGCGAGCCGGCGAGCCUCGCUCCCUCCCCGUUAGGCUUGAACCCACUCCCGUUCCACCACAGCGUCACCAGAUCGUGGAGGCAUCCCCGGCACUGCGCCGGCGACAGGUCCCCGGCGCACUGCGCCAUGGACCAGAUGUUGGGGACCCGCGGGUCGAGCCCCACCAGCUGCCCCGUGGCGAAGUACAGCCUCGGCGACGACGGCGACGACCUGUCCACCGCGUGCGCCGCGGUGGCGUUGAGCAGCCGCGUGACGGCGCCGUCGUAGGCCGAGACGUUGACGCCGGCGGGGUUGCUGGUGCCGCUGAUGAGCGGCACCAUGCCGGUGUUGUUUGGCGAGGAGAGGAAGUCCGUGACGGCGACGCGGACGUAGCACUGGUUGUAGACGAGGGCGGCGUCCCGGGUGCGGUUGCAGACACGCUGCACGUCCUCGCCGGUGCGGGUGCCGCAGUCGAAGCAGUCGGACGCGCUGACGUCGCCGCGGCAGAGCACGAGGCCGUAGACGGCGUCCGCGCCGGCGCCGGCGGAGCCCGACGCGAAGAGGGCGGGCGAGUUGGAGGCGUUGGCGCGGAGCACGGAGACGAGGCGGAGGAGGUUGUCGGCGUAGGUGCUGCCCGCCGAGUAGUUGCCUCUCUGGCCGUCGCAGACCGCCCACGGCUGCGCUGCGGCGUAGGGGAUGACCAUCACCAGCGCGAGCGCCGCUAGGUCGACUACAGGAACGCGCGGCAUGGCGCGGCGCCCGCGAGCGCAGCAGCCGGCGCGGCGCGGGUGGAAGAAUUUGUGAGAUUAUUGCAGCAAGCUACUUGUUGCAUGCAGCAGAUGGAAACUUGACGGAUCAGAGGAGCUCAACAGGAUAUUGCAUGGUGGUACGAUUGUAUCAUUGCAUAGCAGGUGGGUGGGUGGCCAUGGCAAGUGGCUCGCGACAUGGCCAAUCGAUGCGUUUCCUUUGGACGACAGGGAACACGCGAAUUCCAAAAGAGGACGACGACGGAAAGGAGGAUAAUGCAAGUUGCGCCGCGGCAGGUUUCGCAGAAACGUGACCGGAGCGGGUGCACGUGGUCGCUGGAUGGAGUAAACAAGCCCAGAGCCGUCGACAUCGUCACCGGACAUGCCGCGGCGAGAUACAGCUUUUGACUUGGAAAGACCGCGGCGCAUGCCGCUGGUGGUUUACUUUGUUCAGCCGCGGAGGCUGCGAGUGGCCAGGUCGCUAGCUACUAGCAAGGGCUGGUAGUAAUUUACACGCAGCAACUACUUCCAAGUGCUGCUGCUGUAUGUACGCACGUUCAAAAUGUUCAAGGUCGUAGGUCCACAGCCACACCUCAGCUGCCCACGCGCGGUUGCUCCGAUCGAUCCGUGCAGCACCGUCGUCGUCGGAAAUCGUUGCCUUGAAUCCUGUGGGCAUCCGGGCGCACAUGCAUUCCGGCGACGCGACGCCUGCGAACCCCGGCGAGGCGGCGACGCGCGGCCUCGUUCAAGACGGGCUCCUUUUGGGCGUCGGCUUCGUCUCUUGCCCCGUCUGCUUGGGCGGGCGGGGCCCGCGGCGGGUGAACGGGAGCGAUAGUCGUGUCCCGCAGCAUCGGGGUGAUGAACCUGUCAACAGCCAUUGCCUUGUUGCCAACUUGCCGGGGUGGCACCACAACCCAAGCUGCCCCAUAUCUGGUGUACUAUGGAGACCGCCAAUGGCAGAAUGCAGAUAUAAACUAGGAGAUCUGGAGCCUCAUGGCAUCGUGGGCCGCCCAACAAUACGUCAUCUUAUUACACUGUACAGCAAUGACCCAAAACAAGGAUUUUUCAUAUACUUUUCUAAAAGCUUGAAGCAGCACCAGUAACAAGAAACUUUCUUUUUGAGAACUCGGUAAAAAGAAGCACAAACUACACUUCGCGGUGAACGAACUGCACCAGUUUCUCUGAAGUCUGAACUACUAUACAACAAGAAACAAACAGGCAACAAUAUGUCUCUCUCCACAAAGGCCGUGUCUUAAGCCUUAGCUGGCGGAAGGAUAUGAAACGGUACCGGAAGCAUAAGAGUAACCUGAGGUACCUGAGCUUGGAUCCAAGAAAAAUGUUGGUCUCGCAGCAGGAGGCAGUGAACUGGUAGCAUCACCGUUGAGCAUCACCAUGACAUCCGACAUCGUAGGCCGGUCCACGGGAUUCUGCUGAAGGCACAACAGACCAAUAUUGACGCAUUUUAGCACCUCAGUCUCUGAGUAGUUCCUCCCUAGGGAAUCAUCUAUCAUCUCUGCAAUUGUUCCCUCAGACCAAUGCCUCCAUACCUAGCAUCGGUUUCAUGGGUUGUUCAGAAUAAAUUAAACAACUAUACAAUCUAGCAAUAUGCAGUUACUGUUACAUGCAAGAGAGAGUGUUUAUUGCCGAGUACUCACGAUGCUUAUAAUGUCUUCGUUUUGCUCAUGGAAGUAAUGUCCGGUGUUUCUCUGCCCCGUUAUGAUCUCUAUAACAAGGAUACCGAAACUGAACACAUCCGAUUUCGUGGAGUACUGUCCACGCAUCACGUACUCAGGAGACAUGUAGCCACUGCAAUGAGAAGAAUCAGCACCAUGUUCAGUUAGAGGCCAUUAUGUGUCUGAAUGGAAGACUAAACUGAAUGAUUAACAGAUUGACAAUAAUUGAUUACAAUGUCCCGACGAUGCGGUUCGUCACAUCUCGUGUCUGGUCUUGCUCGAAGAGCCUGGCUAGGCCGAAGUCACCAAUCUUAGGGUUCAUGUCCGCAUCCAGCAAGACAUUGCUUGCUUUCAUGUCACGGUGGACAAUUUUCUUCUGAGAG
rnacentral:lncRNA from 1 species